UGUGUAGGUGGCAUAGUUAGUGGGAUGUGAAAUCUCCGAGCUCAACUUGGAAACUGCAUUCCAUACUACUAAGCUAGAGUACCGCAGAGGCAAAUGGAAUUCUCGGUGUAAGGGUGAAAUCUGCAGAUAUCGAGAAGAACACCAGUGGCGAAGGCGAUUUGCUGGGCGGAUACUGACGCUGAGACACGAAAGCCAGGGUAGCGAACG
rnacentral:rRNA from 1 species